AUCCACCAAACAGUUUGGGCCGAAUCCCAAAGAAACGAAAGCAAAAAAGCUUCGAUAAAGCUAAAAAGCGCUGUUUGAUGAGCCUGCGUAGUAUUAGGUAGUUGGUUGGGUAAAGGCUGACCAAGCCGCAGAUGCUUAGCUGAUCUUUUCGGACGAUCAGCCACACUGGGACUGAGACACGGCCCAGACUCCGUAUGGAGGCAGCAGUGGGGAAUAUUGGACAAUGGGCGAAAGCCCGAUCCAGCAAUAUCGCGUGAGUGAGUGAAAAACGUCGCGUUAGCGAGGAAGGGCAAUGCCGCUUGUAAAGCUCUUUCGUCGAGUGCGCGAUUAUGACAAGACUCG
rnacentral:rRNA from 1 species